rnacentral:rRNA from 1 species
GUGAACGCUGGCGGCAUGUCUAAGGCAUGCAAGUCUAUCUUGUCGCAAGACAGGAUGGCAAACGGGAGAGUAACACAUUAGUAAUCUACCUCUAUCUUGAGUAUAACCCAAAGAAAUUUGGGACAAUCCUCGAUAGUCAUGGGGGGACGCAAGUCAUUCCCAUGUAAAGCUUCGGCGGAUAGAGAGGAGCUUAUGACCUAUCAGUUAGUUGGUGAGGUAAUGGCUCACCAAGGCAAUGACGGGUAGCGGUUCUGAGAGGAUGAUCCGCCACACUGGUACUGAGACACGGACCAGACUCCUACGGGAGGCAGCAGUGAGGAAUAUUGCACAAUGGGGGGAACCCUGAUGCAGCAACGCCGCGUGGAGGAUGACGCAUUUCGGUGUGUAAACUCCUUUUAUAUGUCAAGAAAAUGACGGUAGCAUAUGAAUAAGCACCGGCUAACUCCGU